rnacentral:rRNA from 1 species
GCGAAUGCAGCCAAAGUGGUUCUCGUUCAGGCUCAGGAGUUGUUGGCGUGCAGUGCUGGGAUGCCAGACGCCGUAGGGUGCUGCAACUCGGAUACGGCUGUCGACUGCUUUGCAUUCCUGACGAGAGCCGGCCAACGGCAGUUACCCCUGGCUCAAGAGGGUUGCCGGGAAGGUAGCUUCUCGGUUUACCGGGAAGAACUUAUAGCCGGCAACCUGGCAGUCUGGGAGUGACUGAGGAGUGCUGUGACUUUUCACACCCGCAGUACAGGCUCCCUAGGGGCCGGGUCCCUUCUGUCUGUGUGGGCAACGCCACAGGGACUGCGUGCAGUGUCUGCGGACGGAUGUGUGCUCAGGUGGGAGGUCGGCCACGUCUUGUGCUGUAGUCGUUGGUACCUGGAUGGCUUCAUUCGA